rnacentral:rRNA from 1 species
GUAGAGGAUGUUUCGGGUGCGGCGCGGGUCUAAGUCCUUUGGAACAGGGCGUCAUAGAGGGUGAGAAUCCCGUAUGUGACCCGUGAUCAAACCCAUGUGAAACCCCUUCGACGAGUCGAGUUGUUUGGGAAUGCAGCUCAAAAUGGGUGGUAAAUUUCAUCUAAAGCUAAAUACCGGCCAGAGACCGAUAGCGCACAAGUAGAGUGAUCGAAAGAUGAAAAGCACUUUGGAAAGAGAGUCAAAAAGUACGUGAAAUUGUUGAAAGGGAAGCGCUUGCAACCAGACCUGUCCGCAGGCGAUCAACUCCCGUUCUCGGGGGUGCACUCGUCUGUGAUCAGGCCAGCAUCGGUUCGGGCGGUCGGAUAAAGGCCUUGGGAAUGUGGCUCCUUUUGGGGAGUGUUAUAGCCCUCGGUGCAAUGCGGCCAGCCCGGACCGAGGACCGCGCCUUCGGGCUAGGAUGCUGGCGUAAUGGUUGUAAGCGACC